rnacentral:lncRNA from 1 species
CUUACUAGCAGUAUCUCUGGUGUUCUCCAGAGCAGCCACAGGGUGCCUUCCAGACAGACUCUGUCCAAAGCAUGGGCAUGAGACAGCUUCGCCUUAGCCAAGAGCGGCCCAUGUGCCUAGCUUUACCCCACUGCUCUGUUCCUGUGUGGAGCGCAAUGCAAAAUACAGGGAGCUGUCCUUGCCCUGAAGACUUGUCCCUUGGGCUGGAACAAAACACAGCAGUCAUUCAGAACC